AUUGAACGCUGGCGGCAGGCCUAACACAUGCAAGUCGAACGAGUGGCGGACGGGUGAUUAAUGUCUGGGAAACUUCCUGCCGGCGGGUGAUAACUACUGGAAACGGUAGCUAAUUCCGCAUACUAUCGUCUGUGCCCAGAUGGGAUUAGCUUGUCGGUGGGGUAAAGGCUCACCUAGGCGCCGAUCCCUAGCUGGUCUGAUAGGAUGACCGGCAACACUGGAACUGAGACACGGUCCAGACGCCGACGGAAGGCAGCAGUGGGGAAUAUGGCACAAUGGGCGCAAGCGUAAUGCAGCCAUGCCGCGUAUAUGAAGAAGGCCUUCGGGUGGUAAAGUACUUUAAGCGGGGAGGCGUUACCCGCAGAAGAAGCACCGGCUAACUCCGUGCCAGCAGCCGCGGUAAUUC
rnacentral:rRNA from 1 species